GGUAGCACAGAGAGCUUGCUCUCGGGUGACGAGCGGCGGACGGGUGAGUAAUGUCUGGGAAACUGCCUGAUGGAGGGGGAUAACUACUGGAAACGGUAGCUAAUACCGCAUAACGUCGCAAGACCAAAGUGGGGGACCUUCGGGCCUCAUGCCAUCAGAUGUGCCCAGAUGGGAUUAGCUAGUAGGUGGGGUAAUGGCUCACCUAGGCGACGAUCCCUAGCUGGUCUGAGAGGAUGACCAGCCACACUGGAACUGAGACACGGUCCAGACUCCUACGGGAGGCAGCAGUGGGGAAUAUUGCACAAUGGGCGCAAGCCUGAUGCAGCCAUGCCGCGUGUAUGAAGAAGGCCUUCGGGUUGUAAAGUACUUUCAGCGAGGAGGAAGGCGUUAAGGUUAAUAACCUUGGCGAUUGACGUUACUCGCAGAAGAAGCACCGGCUAACUCCGUGCCAGCAGCCGCGGUAAUACGGAGGGUGCAAGCGUUAAUCGGAAUUACUGGGCGUAAAGCGCACGCAGGCGGUCUGUCAAGUCGGAUGUGAAAUCCCCGGGCUCAACCUGGGAACUGCAUUCGAAACUGGCAGGCUAGAGUCUUGUAGAGGGGGGUAGAAUUCCAGGUGUAGCGGUGAAAUGCGUAGAGAUCUGGAGGAAUACCGGUGGCGAAGGCGGCCCCCUGGACAAAGACUGACGCUCAGGUGCGAAAGCGUGGGGAGCAAACAGGAUUAGAUACCCUGGUAGUCCACGCCGUAAACGAUGUCGACUUGGAGGUUGUGCCCUUGAGGCGUGGCUUCCGGAGCUAACGCGUUAAGUCGACCGCCUGGGGAGUACGGCCGCAAGGUUAAAACUCAAAUGAAUUGACGGGGGCCCGCACAAGCGGUGGAGCAUGUGGUUUAAUUCGAUGCAACGCGAAGAACCUUACCUACUCUUGACAUCCAGAGAACUUAGCAGAGAUGCUUUGGUGCCUUCGGGAACUCUGAGACAGGUGCUGCAUGGCUGUCGUCAGCUCGUGUUGUGAAAUGUUGGGUUAAGUCCCGCAACGAGCGCAACCCUUAUCCUUUGUUGCCAGCGGUCCGGCCGGGAACUCAAAGGAGACUGCCAGUGAUAAACUGGAGGAAGGUGGGGAUGACGUCAAGUCAUCAUGGCCCUUACGAGUAGGGCUACACACGUGCUACAAUGGCAUAUACAAAGAGAAGCGACCUCGCGAGAGCAAGCGGACCUCAUAAAGUAUGUCGUAGUCCGGAUUGGAGUCUGCAACUCGACUCCAUGAAGUCGGAAUCGCUAGUAAUCGUAGAUCAGAAUGCUACGGUGAAUACGUUCCCGGGCCUUGUACACACCGCCCGUCACACCAUGGGAGUGGGUUGCAAAAGAAGUAGGUAGCUU
rnacentral:rRNA from 1 species